AGUGAACGCUGGCGGUAGGCCUAACACAUGCAAGUCGAACGGCAGCACAGGAGAUCUUGCUCUCUGGGUGGCGAGUGGCGGACGGGUGAGGAAUACAUCGGAAUCUACUUUUUCGUGGGGGAUAACGUAGGGAAACUUACGCUAAUACCGCAUACGACCUACGGGUGAAAGCAGGGGACCUUCGGGCCUUGCGCGAUUGAAUGAGCCGAUGUCGGAUUAGCUAGUUGGCGGGGUAAAGGCCCACCAAGGCGACGAUCCGUAGCUGGUCUGAGAGGAUGAUCAGCCACACUGGAACCGAGACACGGUCCAGACUCCUACGGGAGGCAGCAGUGGGGAAUAUUGGACAAUGGGCGCAAGCCUGAUCCAGCCAUACCGCGUGGGUGAAGAAGGCCUUCGGGUUGUAAAGCCCUUUUGUUGGGAAAGAAAUCCAGCUGGCUAAUACCCGGUUGGGAUGACGGUACCCAAAGAAUAAGCACCGGCUAACUUCGUGCCAGCAGCCGCGGUAA
rnacentral:rRNA from 1 species